CUACGGGUGGCUGCAGUGAGGAAUAUUGCACAAUGGGGGGAACCCUGAUGCAGCAACGCCGCGUGGAGGAUGACGCAUUUCGGUGUGUAAACUCCUUUUAUAUGUCAAGAAAAUGACGGUAGCAUAUGAAUAAGCACCGGCUAACUCCGUGGCCAGCAGCCGCGGUAAUACGGAGGGUGCAAGCGUUGACUCGGAAUCACUGGGCGUAAAGGACGCGUAGGCGGGCUUGUAAGUCAGGUGUGAAAUCCUACAGCUUAACUGUAGAACUGCACUUGAAACUACGAGCCUAGAGUAUGGGAGGGGGAGAUGGAAUUAGUGGUGUAGGGGUAAAAUCCGUAGAUAUCACUAGGAAUACCUAAAGCGAAGGCGAUCUCCUGGAACAUAACUGACGCUAAGGCGUGAAAGCGUGGGAGCAAACAGGAUUAGAUACCCCCGUAGUC
rnacentral:rRNA from 1 species